rnacentral:rRNA from 1 species
GAUGAACGCUGGCGGCGUGCCUAAUACAUGCAAGUCGAGCGAACAGAUAAGGAGCUUGCUCCUUUGACGUUAGCGGCGGACGGGUGAGUAACACGUGGGUAACCUACCUAUAAGACUGGGAUAACUUCGGGAAACCGGAGCUAAUACCGGAUAACAUUUGGAACCGCAUGGUUCUAAAGUGAAAGUUGGUUUUGCUAUCACUUAUAGAUGGACCCGCGCCGUAUUAGCUAGUUGGUAAGGUAACGGCUUACCAAGGCAACGAUACGUAGCCGACCUGAGAGGGUGAUCGGCCACACUGGAACUGAGACACGGUCCAGACUCCUACGGGAGGCAGCAGUAGGGAAUCUUCCGCAAUGGGCGAAAGCCUGACGGAGCAACGCCGCGUGAGUGAUGAAGGGUUUCGGCUCGUAAAACUCUGUUAUUAGGGAAGAACAAAUGUGUAAGUAACUGUGCACGUCUUGACGGUACCUAAUCAGAAAGCCACGGCUAACUACGUG